CAACUUGUCAUUAUAUGAAACGGGGCAAAAUUCAGCAGUAAUUUUGUCACUUGAACAAGAACGGCAGCAGCCAAUGAAAACUAUGGUGG
rfam:Lodderomyces elongisporus NRRL YB-4239 hypothetical protein (LELG_01982) partial mRNA